rnacentral:misc_RNA from 1 species
AACGCACCUUGCGCUCUUGGGUUAUUCCUAAGAGCAUGCCUGUUUGAGUGUCGUGAACUUCUCAACCCCAGUUGGAUUUGCAAUUCGACUGGUGGCUGGACUUGGGGGCUUGCUGGCCGUUUCAAUUCGGUCUGCUCCCCUUGAAUGUAUUAGCUUGGACUUCUUCCUACGGCUGCAUAGCGUGAUAAUUAUCUACGCCUUGUCUGUCUGUGGAAUACUACUGGGUCUAGCUUCUAACUGUCCUCUGGACAAUCACUUCAAUCUUUGACCUCAAAUCAGGUAGGACUACCCGCUGAACUUAA